UUGUUGUAUGAAGGAAGAGGUUAGCACUCCCCUUGACAAGGAUGGAAGAGACCCUUGGGCCUAACAAGCAUAAGGUUAAGACAUUGCCACCAACUUCGUGGCAUCUAACCACUGUUAUUU
rnacentral:ncRNA from 1 species